rnacentral:rRNA from 1 species
UGCGAAGCGAAGCAGCGAUGUGAAGCAAAUCGCACCAAAGCCGGUCCCAGUUCGGAUAAGAGGCUGAAACUCGCCUCUUUGAAGUCGGAAUCGCUAGUAAUCGCAGAUCAGCAUGUUGCGGUGAAUACGUUUCCUGGUCUUGUACACACCGCCCGUCAAACCAUGAGAGUCGCCAACACCCGAAGUCCGCUUUGCGGCCUGAGGUGGGGGAGAUGAUUGGGGUUAAGUCGUAACAAGGUAAC